rnacentral:rRNA from 1 species
GACGAACGCUGGCGGCGUGCUUAACACAUGCAAGUCGAACGGAAAGGCCCUGCUUUUGUGGAGUGCUCGAGUGGCGAACGGGUGAGUAACACGUGAGUAACCUGCCCUUGACUUUGGGAUAACUUCAGGAAACUUGGGCUAAUACCGGAUAUGAGCUCCUGCUGCAUGGUGGGGGUUGGAAAGUUUCGGCGGUUGGGGAUGGACUCGCGGCUUAUCAGCUUGUUGGUGGGGUAGUGGCUUACCAAGGCUUUGACGGGUAGCCGGCCUGAGAGGGUGACCGGCCACAUUGGGACUGAGAUACGGCCCAGACUCCUACGGGAGGCAGCAGUGGGGAAUAGUGCACAAUGGGCGGAAGCCUGAUGCAGCAACGCCGCGUGCGGGAUGACGGCCUUCGGGUUGUAAACCGCUUUCGCCUGUGACGAAGCGUGAGUGACGGUAAUGGGUAAAGAAGCACCGGCUAACUACGUG